CUUGCCCCCACGGCGGCCUCCCGGGGCCAAGUCCCUGCCUGCCUCCCAGCAGCCCGCGUACGGCCCAGCUCCUCCCUCACGAUGGCCUGUUGAUGCCCAACUCAUGCCUCUGGCACCCUGCCCAGAGGCGUGAGCCCCUGUCUCACACUGGCUCCUCCCACGCUGAGAGAGGUCAGUGUGAGCCCUUGCCUCACACCGGCCCCUCCCACGCGGACAGAGGUCAGCGUGAGCCCCUUGCCUCACACCGGCCCCUCCCACGCUGAGAGAGGUCAGUGUGAGCCCUUGCCUCACCCCGGCCCCUCCCACGUGGACAGAGGUCAGCGUGAGCCCCUUGCCUCACACCGGCCCCUCCCACGCUGCGAGAGGUCAGCCUGAGCCCUUGCCUCACACCGGCCCCUCCCACGCUGAGAGAGGUCAGCCUGAGCCCUUGCCUCACACCGGCCCCUCCCACGCUGAGAGAGGUCAGCCUGAGCCCUUGUCUCACACCGGCCCCUCCCACGCUGAGAGAGGUCAGCCCGAGCCCCUCGCCUCACACCGGCCCCUCCCACGCUGAGAGAGGUCAGCGUGAGCCCCUUGCCUCACACCGGCCCCUCCCACGCUGAGAGAGGUCAGUGUGAGCCCUUGCCUCACACCGGCCCCUCCCACGCGGACAGAGGUCAGCGUGACCCCCUGCCUCAACAGGCCACCGUGAGGGAGGAACAGGAUCGCACUCGGGCUGCUGGGAGGUAGGCAGGGACUUGGGCCUGGGAGGUCGCGGUGGGGCGAGAGCUGGGCCUGGAGACUCCCCUGGGAGGCAACAGCGGGGUCUGCAGACGCCCUUCUCCAGCCGGAGCUGGGACUGUUCAGUCACUGGGAGAAGGGAUGUGGGUCUGAAGAGCUUGGUUGCAGAAACUUCGGGGUCUACAAACGCAGGCGGGAGCUGAGCCAAAAGAGCUUGUUUGCUGGGAGGUGGGAGAUGCAGCCAGGAGGAACAGCUGGGCAAUGCGGGAGGCAGAGGCCAGGCCUCCUCAAGUUGGCCUCUCAGACCCACUUGCAGCCUCCCGGCGCCCCCUCCGGGCCCAGCUCUUCCUCCCGGCUGCAUCUCCAGGGCGGACUCUGGCCCGACUCCAGGUCCCAACAACGUCUUUGGACUCAGCUCCUGCCCAGCUCCCAGCGGCCCUGGUAGGCCCACAACUUCCCUAAGCCAAGCUCCCCAGGCCCAGCUCAGGCCUCGCGGUGGCCUCUCCAGGCUCAGCUCCUGGCCCUCCGAUGACAUCUGCAGGCCCCAAACGGCCUCCGGUCGGUGGGCUCCUCUAGGCCCAGCUUGGGCCUCCCGGCGGCCUCCGCAGGCCCAAAUCGUCCCGAAGUCAGUCUCUCCAGGCUUAGCUCCAGCCUCCCGGCGGCCUCUGCAGGCCCAAGUCGUCCUCAAGUCGGCCUGGAAGUGGGCCUGGAAGAGCAGCAAGUCGGCCUCCCCGGGCCCAGCUCCGUCCUCUCGGCGGCCUCUCCAGGUGCAAAACUUCCUCGAGUCAGCCUCUCCAGGCCCAGCUCCUCCUGCCUCCCAGUGGCCUCUUUCGGCCCAGCCCAGCUCAUGGCUCUCGGCGGCCUUCCCAGGCCCCGCUUUUGACUUUUGGCAGCCUCUUCAGGCGCAGAACUUGAUCUCCAGGCGGCCUUUGCAGGCCCGGCCUCCUGCCUCUCGAAGGCCUGCACGGGCCCGGCCUCGGCCUCGGCCUCACAGCGGACUCUCCACGCCCAGCUAGCUCUCGCCUCACUGCGGUCUCCCCAGUCCAAAGCUCCUGGCUUUCGGCCACUUCGGCAGGUCCAGCUCCUGCCUGCCAGUGGCCUCUUUAGGCCCAGCUCAUUCCUCACGUCGGCCAUUCCAGGCCCCGUUUUUCCCUUCCGGCAGCCUCUUGGCCUCUAAUUUGUUUAUCUUUUGUGUAUAAAUCCCAAAAUAUUGAAUUUUGGAAUAUUUCCACCAUUAUGUAAAUAUUUUGGUAGGUAAUUUAUUUGGAGUGAGUUUCUGCGCCAAGCCCGAAUUUUUUAUUUUAUUUUCCUUAUUAUUUGGUGUUAAACAGGUUUAAUGACGGUCAUGGCAACUUUUUGGCACAAUGAAAAAUAUCGCCCACGAUCAACGUGUUCUGUUCUGGGGAAGGGGGCAAAGGCAGGGUGAAUCACUUUCUUAAAAAGUAUAGCUCAAGUUGGGAGUGCAGAGGGAAUGGGGAGAAAACCCUCCCGCUGCCUGUGUCGAAGUGCAGGAGCCCCCACCCCCAUACUCACCUGAGUCCAGCCCCUCUGGGGAAAGAAGGGGUGCAUGAACUCCCCCUAGUCCACAGGCGCCUCCCUGUGGCCCAAGGCCCUCUUCACACUCCAUCUUGUAGCCCCAGCAGGAGCUAUUUUCCGAAAAGUGAAAAGCUCUGAAGGUCCCACAAUUCAUGGUAUGUACAGGGGCUCGGAGGAGGGAAACUGCCCAGCUUUCCCCCGGCACAGCUGCAGGGGUAGGGGGUAUAGAUAAGAGGAGCAGGCCUUGGCCAGGCGUGGUGGCUCACGCCUGUAAUCCCAGCACUUUGGGAGGGGGAGGCAGGCAGAUCACGAUGUCAGGAGAUCGAAAUCAGCCUGGCCAAGAUGAUGAAGCCCCGUCUGUACUAAAAAUACAAAAAUUAGCCGGACGUGGUAGCGUGCACCUGUAAUCCUAGCUACCGAGAAGGCUGAGGCAGGAGAAUGGCGUGAACCCGGCGGGAAGAGGUUGCA
rnacentral:lncRNA from 1 species